rnacentral:ncRNA from 1 species
UUCAUCAGCUAAUGGGCUAAUCACAUGCUGAACUAAAACUGCAUAAGUGGUGAAAUGCUUGAUAGAAGCACUCAGCGUUAUUAAGUGUGAUGAAAAUCUGCAAAGCAUAAAAAGUGAAAAAAUUUAGCACUAAACUGUUAGAGAUAACGCCUCUGGCAGUUUUUU